UAGGGAAUCUUCGGCAAUGGACGAAAGUCUGACCGAGCAACGCCGCGUGAGUGAAGAAGGUUUUCGGAUCGUAAAACUCUGUUGUUAGAGAAGAACAAGGACGUUAGUAACUGAACGUCCCCUGACGGUAUCUAACCAGAAAGCCACGGCUAACUACGUGCCAGCAGCCGCGGUAAUACGUAGGUGGCAAGCGUUGUCCGGAUUUAUUGGGCGUAAAGCGAGCGCAGGCGGUUUCUUAAGUCUGAUGUGAAAGCCCCCGGCUCAACCGGGGAGGGUCAUUGGAAACUGGGAGACUUGAGUGCAGAAGAGGAGAGUGGAAUUCCAUGUGUAGCGGUGAAAUGCGUAGAUAUAUGGAGGAACACCAGUGGCGAAGGCGGCGCUCUGGUCUGAAACUGACGCUGAGGCUCGAAAGCGUGGGGAGCAAACAGG
rnacentral:rRNA from 1 species